rfam:Coprococcus comes CAG:19 genomic scaffold, scf194
AUAAUGCUUCAGGGCGGGGCGAAAUUCCCCACCGGCGGUAAAGCCCGCGAGCCGUAAGGCAUGAACUGGUGAGAUUCCAGUGCCGACAGUAAAGUCUGGAUGGAAGAAGUUGAAU